rnacentral:lncRNA from 1 species
AAUAUGGUAGGCAACAUGAGUGAUGGCUAGGCACUUCCUAUUAGUUGAGGAAACAAAUUCUGAAGGUGUGUAGGUACAUAGUAUUUGGAAUUUAAAUUUUUGCUGACCUUAUUACUUAUCAUUAGUUUAUUACUUAUUACUUUAUGAAAUUAAGUAGAAAAAAUCAGCCUAUAAUCCCAGCACUUGGGAAGGUGAAGCAGGAGGAUCACCCUGAGUUCAAGGUCAGUCUGAGCCACAUUGUGAGUUCAAGGCCAGCCUGGACUACAGAGUAAGACCCUAUCUCAGAAAAACAAAAGCAAAUAAAAAAUGUGAUUAGAUUGUGAGGGUUUAUAACCAACUUGCUAUUAGGAAGGGGGCCUGGUCAGAAGAGGAGGGUCACUGGGAGCAUGGCCUGGACUGGUUUGUCUCUCUCCUCCCUUUGCUCUCCGCUUCCUGUCAUGCCAGGAGCAGCUCUCCUCUGCCAUGCGGUCCUGACUUGGAGCUGGACUGUAGACUGAAAUUCUCUUCAAGCCUUACAGAUUCUUCAGAGUGAGAUCCAGGCUACAAUACAACAGGCUCGAGAAAAACCCUUUAUGACGUUCCAGCUCCACGGUUUCAAGCCAGGAGACCUGGUCCUGAUAUGCCGACAUCAGACAGCCUCGAGCUGCAUUGGAAGGGGCCAUAUCCUGUUAUUUUGGUAACCCCCCUCCGCAAAGUAGCGGGGGGGGGCACAGCUUGGAUUCAUCACACCCAGGUCAAGUCAGCUCCAGCAGAGAGCCCAGAGCCAGCACGAUGGAAGAUUCUAAGCACCCCAGGAGACUUAAAAGUUAAAAUUGGGAAAAGAGGACUAGUACUCCUGGUAUACAUUCUCUAUCAAUCAUGUCAGCUCGGGGGAACAAAUAACUUGUUUCUUCCCUGUUCAGAAACUUGGGAAUUAAGACUAACUUCUAGUGGAAAAAAUCCUGGCAAAAAUAGAGGACCCAACCAAUCUGAGAUCACCUUUACUGCUAGCUUAUGUCAUAUGGUUGAGGAGGCCUCAUAUUAUGGGAACAGGGGCUGUAUGGAAUCUGGGUGCUGUACUCUCACUAAAUGGGGACUCCAUCCUGUCCAAUAUUAUGUAUGUCCAGAAAAUGAAGACCCAUAUUGUGAUGGUAACGGCAAUGACUAUCAUUGUGCCCAAUGGGGAUGUUGGACUAUAGCUCCUUGGUCCAUUCAAAUUAUAGAUCCCUGGUUAAAAAUGUCUCCCACCACCGUAUUAUCAUGAUAAAAACCUGUGAUACUGGCAUAUGUUAUCUGAUUACCAUUACACCCCAAAGAUUGGAAGAUCCUGGGUGGGUAACUGGAAGGACAUGGGGAAUUAGAUUAUAUGUAUCUUGGGUCAGAAUUUACCAUCCAGCAAGGUUGCCAGUGGGUUGAGCGACCUAUGGGGCCCAGCAAGGACUUUGCUCUACCUAUCCCCAUAGCAAGGCCUAAGCCUGUGCCCUCACCUACUCAGAAACCAGAACCCCCCCACUCUUCCAACUAUAUUACAAGAUAAACCCCCCACCCCUGUACUGGAAAUGUUGAUGAGCAUCCAUUUACUCAACAAAUCCAGCCCUGAGGAGGCUAAAGAUUGUUGGCUCUGCCUCGACCCCAGGCCCCCAUAUGAUUUGGGGUUGGGGCUCGUGGCUAUGGCAGACUUGUCCCCAACAGGUUGUGAUUGGAGCCACCCUCAACUCACCCUGGGGGACAUCCAAGGAAAAGGAACAAAUUACAGUUUGGAUACAUCACCUUAUAGAGAUCUGUGUAAUGAUAGUUAUAAUAAUCACCCUGCCUCAGGCCCCUGUUACUACAAGGCUCCAGAAGAUGCUUGGUUUGCUUGCACCAAGGGCUUGACUAAAUGUAUUCCCAAAUCAGUCUUGGCUACCCAAUGUGCCACUUUAUUUUGUGUCACCGUGUAUGUUGUUCCACAAGUCUUGUAUUAUAAUGGAAAAGGGGGCCGCAAACAUCUGGGAUUAACCACUGAACACUAUAGAAGUAAAUGGCUGUUCCCGUUUUAGUGCCCAUUUUGGUAGGAUUAGGAAUAGCCGGGUCAGCUAUUGGAACUUCCUCCCUGAUCCUUCAGGACAAAUUUUAAAGCCCUAAGCCACCAAGCAGCCAGAGAUUUGGGUCACCUGGAAGACUCGAUCUCCAGAUUAGAGAACCAGGUUGAUUCCCUAGCUGAGAUGGUCCUGCAAAAUCGAAGGGGACUUGACCUCCUGUUCAUGAAACAGGGAGGGUUAUGUGUAGCCCUAGGAGAAACCUGUUGCUUCUAUGCUAAUCAGUCUGGUGUCAUUAGAGAUACCUUAGCUACGGUCAGAGAAAAUUUAAAGACUAAAUAUGCUCAACAAAAGGAUCAAAAUUGGUUUCAGAAUCUAUUUGACUGGUCCCCAUGGUUAACUACCCUACUUUCUGCUGUAGCAGGCCCCUUAGUUAUCUUACUUCUGCUUUUGCUUGUGGGACCUUGUAUUAUAAAUGCUCUGACUAAAUAAAUAUGUUAGACAGUGGGUCGAUGCAGUUAAACUGAUGGUAAUAAACUCCUG